UACAGAGGUCUCAAGCGUUGUUCGGAUUCAUUGGGCGUAAAGGGUGUGUAGGUGGCGCGCUAAGUCGGGUGUGAAAUUUCGGAGCUUAACUCCGAAACUGCAUUCGAUACUGGCGUGCUUGAGGACUGGAGAGGAGACUGGAAUUUACGGUGUAGCAGUGAAAUGCGUAGAUAUCGUAAGGAAGACCAGUGGCGAAGGCGGAUCUCUGGACAGUUACUGACACUGAGGCACGAAGGCCAGGGGAGCAAACGGG
rnacentral:rRNA from 1 species